UGGGGAAUAUUGGACAAUGGGCGGAAGCCUGAUCCAGCAAUACCGCGUGUGUGAAGAAGGCCUGCGGGUUGUAAAGCACUUUCAAUUGGGAAGAAAAGGGGAAGGCUAAUACCCAUCCUCCUUGACGUUACCUUUAGAAGAAGCACCGGCUAACCCUGUGCCAGCAGCCGCGGUAAUACAGGGGGUGCAAGCGUUAAUCGGAAUUACUGGGCGUAAAGCGCGCGUAGGCGGUUUAGUAAGUCAGAUGUGAAAGCCCUGGGCUCAACCUGGGAACUGCAUUUGAAACUGCAAAACUAGAGUAUGGUAGAGGAUGGUGGAAUUCCAGGUGUAGCGGUGAAAUGCGUAGAGAUCUGGAGGAACAUCAGUGGCGAAGGCGGCCAUCUGGACCAAUACUGACGCUGAGGUGCGAAAGCGUGGGUAGCAAACAGGAUUAGAUACCCUGGUAGUCCACGCCGUAAACGAUGUCAACUAGCCGUUGGAUCCAUAUAAGGGUUUAGUGGCGCAGCUAACGCGAUAAGUUGACCGCCUGGGGAGUACGGUCGCAAGAUUA
rnacentral:rRNA from 1 species